rnacentral:rRNA from 1 species
CCUGGUUGAUCCUGCCAGUAGUCAUAUGCUUGUCUCAAAGAUUAAGCCAUGCAUGUCUAAGUUCAAGCGAAAAUAAGUGAAACCGCGAAUGGCUCAUUACAUCAGUUAUGGUUCCUUAGAUUGUACUAACUACUUGGAUAACUGUGGUAAUUCUAGAGCUAAUACAUGCGCUGGGCUCCGACCUGUGAAGGAAGGGGCGCUUUUAUUAGAUCAAAGCCAAUCGGGGUUUCGGCUCCGUAUUUCUGGUGACUCUGAAUAACAUUGCUGAUCGUACGGCCUUGUGCCGACGACGAGUCUUUCAAGUGUCUGCCUUAUCAACUGUCGAUGGUAGGUUAUGCGCCUACCAUGGUUGUAACGGGUAACGGGGAAUCAGGGUUCGAUUCCGGAGAGGGAGCCUGAGAAACGGCUACCACAUCCAAGGAAGGCAGCAGGCGCGCAAAUUACCCACUCCCGGCACGGGGAGGUAGUGACGAAAAAUAACGAUACGGAACUCAUACGAGGCUCCGUAAUCGGAAUGAGUACACUUUAAAUCCUUUAACGAGGAUCUAUUGGAGGGCAAGUCUGGUGCCAGCAGCCGCGGUAAUUCCAGCUCCAAUAGCGUAUAUUAAAGUUGUUGCGGUUAAAAAGCUCGUAGUUGGAUCUCGGUUUCACUCAGGUGGUACACCUUGCGGUGUUCACUAUCUGGGUGGACGUUUCUGUUGGUUCGCUCUUGGUGCUCUUCAUCGGGUGCCAUUUGGUGGCCAGCACGUUUACUUUGAAAAAAUUGGAGUGCUCAAAGCAGGCGUUACAGCCUGAACAUUAGUGCAUGGAAUAAUGGAAUAGGAUCUCGAUUCUAUUUCGUUGGCUUUCGGAGUCGAGGUAAUGAUUAAUAGGGACAGACGGGGGCAUUCGUACUGCGACGUUAGAGGUGAAAUUCUUGGAUCGUCGCAAGACGAACUACUGCGAAAGCAUUUGCCAAGAAUGUUUUCAUUAAUCAAGAACGAAAGUUAGAGGUUCGAAGGCGAUCAGAUACCGCCCUAGUUCUAACCAUAAACGAUGCCAACCGGCGAUCCGUCGUCGUUAAUUGAAUGACUCGACGGGCAGCCUCCGGGAAACCAGAGUGUUUGGGUUCCGGGGGAAGUAUGGUUGCAAAGCUGAAACUUAAAGGAAUUGACGGAAGGGCACCACCAGGAGUGGAGCCUGCGGCUUAAUUUGACCCAACACGGGAAAUCUCACCAGGCCCGGACACCGGAAGGAUUGACAGAUUGAGAGCUCUUUCUUGAUUCGGUGGGUGGUGGUGCAUGGCCGUUCUUAGUUGGUGGAGCGAUUUGUCUGGUUAAUUCCGAUAACGAACGAGACUCUGGCCUACUAACUAGAAGGUCUAUCCUUUAUGGGUAGGCCUCUGCUUCUUAGAGGGAC